rnacentral:rRNA from 1 species
AGGCAAAUCCGCUUUGAUAAUGCUGGGAUGUGAUGGGGAGCGAAAUUUAGUAGCGAAGUAGCUGAUUUCACACUGUCAAGAAAAGUCUCUAUCGAGGUUAAAGGUACCCGUACCGCAAACCGACACAGGUGGGUGAGGAGAGUAUCCUAAGGCCAGCGAGAGAACUGUUGUUAAGGAACUCGGCAAAAUGACCCCGUAACUUAGGGAUAAGGGGUGCCACCAUCCGGUGGCCGCAGAGAAUAGGCCCAAGCGACUGUUUACCAAAAACAUAGGUUUCUGCUAAGUCGCAAGACGAUGUAUAGGAGCUGACGCCUGCCCGGUGCUGGAAGGUUAAGGGGAUCUGUUAGAGCAAUCGAAGCAGUGAACUUAAGCCCCAGUAAACGGCGGCCGUAACUAUAACGGUCCUAAGGUAGCGAAAUUCCUUGUCGGGUAAGUUCCGACCCGCACGAAAGGCGUAACGAUUUGGGCACUGUCUCAACAACAGACUCGGUGAAAUUGUAAUUCCGGUGAAGAUGCCGGAUACCUGCGACAGGACGGAAAGACCCCAUGGAGCUUUACUGUAGCUUGACAUUGGGUCUUGGUACUACAUGUACAGGAUAGGUGGGAGGCUUUGAAACCAGGACGCCAGUUUUGGCGGAGCCAUCCUUGGGAUACCACCCUUGUAGUACUGGGACUCUAACCAUAGGCCAUGAAUCUGGUCUUGGGACACUGUCAGGUGGGCAGUUUGACUGGGGCGGUCGCCUCCCAAAAGGUAACGGAGGCGCUCAAAGGUUCUCUCAGUACGGUCGGAAAUCGUACGUAGAGUGUAAAGGCAAAAGAGAGCUUGAUUGCAAGACAUACAGGUCGAGCAAGGAUGAAAAUCGGACUUAGUGAUCCGGUGGUUCUGCGUGGAAGGGCCAUCGCUCAACGGAUAAAAGCUACCCUGGGGAUAACAGGCUUAUCUCCCCCAAGAGUCCACAUCGACGGGGAGGUUUGGCACCUCGAUGUCGGCUCAUCACAUCCUGGGGCUGUAGUAGGUCCCAAGGGUUGGGCUGUUCGCCCAUUAAAGUGGUACGCGAGCUGGGUUCAGAACGUCGUGAGACAGUUCGGUCCCUAUCCGUCGCAGGCGUAGGAAAUUUGAGAAGACCUGUCCUUAGUACGAGAGGACCGGGAUGGACGUACCUCUGGUGUACCAGUUGU